ACGGGUGAGUAACACGUGGGUGAUCUGCCUCGUACUUCGGGAUAAGCCUGGGAAACUGGGUCUAAUACCGGAUAUGACCUUGGACUGCAUGGUCUUUGGUGGAAAGAUUUAUCGGUACGAGAUGGGCCCGCGGCCUAUCAGCUUGUUGGUGGGGUAACGGCCUACCAAGGCGACGACGGGUAGCCGGCCUGAGAGGGCGACCGGCCACACUGGGACUGAGACACGGCCCAGACUCCUACGGGAGGCAGCAGUGGGGAAUAUUGCACAAUGGGCGAAAGCCUGAUGCAGCGACGCCGCGUGAGGGAUGACGGCCUUCGGGUUGUAAACCUCUUUCGACAGGGACGAAGCGCAAGUGACGGUACCUGUAGAAGAAGCACCGGCCAACUACGUGCCAGCAGCCGCGGUAAUACGUAGGGUGCGAGCGUUGUCCGGAAUUACUGGGCGUAAAGAGCUUGUAGGCGGUUCGUCGCGUCGUUC
rnacentral:rRNA from 1 species